rnacentral:lncRNA from 1 species
AAAUACCACAUUUAAAUAAACUUUUCCGUCCUUUUCCAUUUCUCUACAAAAACUGUGUAAAACCCCUCAAUUUCUCCUCCAUUUUCCCUCUCAAAUCUCAAACUCCAAUGGACGAAAAUCAUUAUUUCUCUAUACCCAAUUCAGGUUCAUCUCUGAAGCAGAAGUUGAAAAACUCCCUUUGCUUCACUGCCACCUUUCUCCUCCGCCUCCGCCGUCAUCCUCCGAUGAGAAUCCGCCGCUGAUUUGGGGACCCUUUGAGUUAUUCGCUGAAUUUCGAAGAUGUAUUUGAUGAAGAAGAAGCCCCUUUGGGUAAUUUCACUUCUAGACUCCCUCCUUCCCCGCCGGUGAAACCUAUGUCUCUGACGGGAAUUACUGCUGCCAGUUAAAGUAAUUAAUGUGUAAUAACUUUUGAGCAGUAGUUGUAGUAACUUACCUUUUUUUGUUCUUUCUUAAAGUGGAGCCGGGAACGUAGAGUAGUGGAGCCACCUGAGCGAAACAUAAAUUUAUAUAUAAAAAUUCACUAGAAUUGCCAUAUAUGAUAAGUAGGUCUGAAUCCAAAUUUUAAAAUGCAAUGAGUUCAAUUAUAAAAACCUUAAAAGUUGAACUGCUCUUUGUAUUCAAUAUUCUAAAUCUGCCUCUGAUUAAUGGUCUUUGUAUUCAAUAUUCACUGCUUUGUUGUCAUCUUAAAAGUGAAUUGUCUUUGAUCUUUUUUAUGAGUGUAAAUAAAUUGGAAGAAUUUCCAGCUCUCUCGUAUAACUAGUUAUGACUUUGCUGUUGGUAACUGGUAUGUGAAUUAAAUGAGGGAGACAUAUUAUAUACAAUUGGAAUUUGCAGUGAGGCUAAAGUAAAAAAGAGUUAUAACGAGGGAACUAAUUAUGAGUAAGAUGCAUGAAACUUGAGAAAUCCCUCCUCGAAAGGAAAGAGGGACGAGUUUUACCUACUAUUGGAUUUGAACCAAUGACUCUCGCCGUAUGAAAGCGAUACUCUAACCGCUGAGUCAAGUAGGUCAAGGAUCUUUCUUUUGCUGUUCUCUGGCCAGAUCUAGGUGUGAAUCAGGAGCUUGCCAUUGUGGAGAGAGAAUGGAUAUGUCAAUUACUACUCUGCGUAUCUGAUGUGUGCUUCGGAGUAUUGGAAUACUGAUCAGAGGCGGGCGACGGUAGAAAGGAGGUAAGAGUUUUUCUGAUAAAAAGACGUGUUCCCUAGUAAUAACCGUAGCUUCAGUGGCUGAAUUUUGUAACGAAACAGAGAAAUGGGCAGUUCUAGAUGUUUGCUUAGUGGUAUUAAUUUUAUAUUUUGGUCAUUAGUUUACGUAUUAUUAAUUGAGUCUUGUACUUAUUUUGCUUUUAGUCCCUACAAGUGGCCGUAGGAUUAGUUGCCACAUGUCUCAUCCGGUAGAAGCCUUGGCCUUUUAUUUCAGUGUAUUUCCCUUUUGGUAGCUAUGU